GAUGUAGCCAAGUGGAUCAAGGCAGU
rnacentral:tRNA from 2 species